CUUUCUCAGAAGAUCUAGAUAGCAGGCUUUACUUUUUGCUUCUUCCCUGAAAUAUUGAAAACAUAUAUGUAUAUAUACAAGUUGAAAUUAGAGAUGAGUCCCUUUUGAUUCUGAAAUCAGAAGUUUGAGGUUGACAAAAAAAUUGUAAACAUUUUGUUACCUGUAUUGAAGGAGUGAUAGAUUUUAUGUAAGCAGAAGGUCACCCCACAAGAACUGAACAACAGCAACAAGACCCCAAGGGGCAAGAAUAAGACAGAGAUUAGUUGUGGUUCUGCCCCUAUGGAUACUCUAAAUGAUGAAUCUAUCCAUGUAUUUAACUCUUGAGACCUGAGAGGACUAACUUUUGACAAUGAAAGAUAAAGGGGAGCAGUAAAACCCUUUUACUCACUUUAUCUGAAAUUGCAUCUCAUGGAAUCUUUAAUGCAAAAUAGAGGAAAGGAACAAGAGAUGUUGAAUUUCAUGUGACAUAGUCCUCAAUAGUA
rnacentral:lncRNA from 1 species